rnacentral:sRNA from 1 species
GUGCCACAUUCCUUGUCCAACUGAAUGUGAAGUUUCACCUUGGUCAGCUUGGGGACCUUGUACUUAUGAAAACUGUAAUGAUCAGCAAGGGAAAAAAGGCUUCAAACUGAGGAAGCGGCGCAUUACCAAUGAGCCCACUGGAGGCUCUGGGGUAACCGGAAACUGCCCUCACUUACUGGAAGCCAUUCCCUGUGAAGAGCCUGCCUGUUAUGACUGGAAAGCAGUGAGACUGGGAGACUGCGAGCCAGAUAACGGAAAGGAGUGUGGUCCAGGCACGCAAGUUCAAGAGGUUGUGUGCAUCAACAGUGAUGCCAUUACUUGUCGCAAGCAAGAUGGAGGACAGGCUGGAAUCCAUGAGUGCCUACAGUAUGCAGGCCCUGUGCCAGCCCUUACCCAGGCCUGCCAGAUCCCCUGCCAGGAUGACUGUCAAUUGACCAGCUGGUCCAAGUUUUCUUCAUGCAAUGGAGACUGUGGUGCAGUUAGGACCAGAAAGCGCACUCUUGUUGGAAAAAGUAAAAAGAAGGAAAAA